rnacentral:tRNA from 1 species
GCAGUGGUGGCGCGGCGACUUCGCGCGGCCGGGCUCGAUGUCCGCACGGGUGUCGGCGGGCACGGGGUGGUGGGAGUCCUCACCGGCGCCC